UACGUAGGGGGCAAGCGUUGUCCGGAUUUAUUGGGCGUAAAGAGCGUGUAGGCGGCCACGCAGGUCCGUUGUGAAAACUGGAGGCUCAACCUCCAGCUGUCGACGGAAACCGUAUGGCUAGAGUCCGGAAGAGGAGAGUGGAAUUCCUGGUGUAGCGGUGAAAUGCGUAGAUAUCAGGAAGAACACCAAUGGCGAAGGCAGCUCUCUGGGACGGUACUGACGCUGAGACGCGAAAGCGUGGGGAGCGAACAGG
rnacentral:rRNA from 1 species